UGGGCACAGCCCAGCACGUCAGGUCAAGGUGUAGCGCAUGAAGUGGAAAGAAAUGGGCUACAUUUUCUACCACAGAACAUUACGAAUAUGUAUCAUGAAACAAUACUUAAAGGAGGAUUUAGCAGUAAAAGGGAAAUAGAGUGCCCCAUUGAACCCGGCUCUGAGACACGUACACACCGCCCGUCACUCUCUCCGUAAAAGCGCACAAAAUACCUAAUAAUAU
rnacentral:rRNA from 1 species